GAGCCGACGAAAUUGACACCCUGGGUAUAAUAUCAAUUCAUAAAUCAUAAUGUGCAUGUGAAUGUUGUACCGUAGUACUUUGAAUUGCUUAUGCCAAAUACUUAUUUUGAGCUGCUUGUUCUUCAUGCUAUUUACAGUCCUUUAUAAUUUGAUUAUUAACUUUGUUUUAGACCUCAUGACAUGGGAAUAAGGUAUACAGUUGGG
rnacentral:misc_RNA from 1 species